AUUGAACGCUGGCGGCAUGCCUUACACAUGCAAGUCGAACGGCAGCACGGGAGCAAUCCUGGUGGCGAGUGGCGAACGGGUGAGUAAUACAUCGGAACGUGCCCAAUCGUGGGGGAUAACGCAGCGAAAGCUGUGCUAAUACCGCAUAAGAUCUACGGAUGAAAGCAGGGGAUCGCAAGACCUUGCGCGAAUGGAGCGGCCGAUGGCAGAUUAGGUAGUUGGUGAGGUAAAGGCUCACCAAGCCUUCGAUCUGUAGCUGGUCUGAGAGGACGACCAGCCACACUGGGACUGAGACACGGCCCAGACUCCUACGGGAGGCAGCAGU
rnacentral:rRNA from 1 species